rnacentral:lncRNA from 1 species
UAAUACUAUGUUUCUCCAUUACAGACACGUUCCUUCUGGGGUUAGGGUUAUUUGUUUGAAUGAAAACUCAUUUGUUUGAAUGAAAACUCUACAACAGCAGGCUCUUUCCUCAGUAGAAUAUCAGUUCACCUACAAAAUCAAGCAAGACGUGUGAACCAUUCAAAUGUGGAGAUCCCCUACCAGCUCUACAGUUCAUCAGCCAUCAUCAUCUGCUUGAUGGGCGGCAAAUAUCCCGGGGCUGAUGGUCCAAAUCCUUUUUUGGCAGUCGAGACAAAAAGUUUGCCUACCCUUGGCCAAGAGUGACAGCUGGCAACAGUAGGGCACAGUGGACACGCCAGCACAAGUGCAGACAUUUGCCAGCUCCCGGACACCGGCACGCAGGAAAUGACUAAUUCAUCCACAGCUCCCUGUCUUUCAUUCACCCUGCCUCCGUCUCACUGUACAGGCUUGGUGGAGUGGACGUGCCAUGUGUAACACACAGUCCUGUAUGCCGCCAGAGUCCACAGUAAACAACCUCGGCCCUGCUGUGGAGCUGGAGCGGGGUAACAGGAUUCAGUGUUCUCCUAAUUGUUGAUGAAGUGCACUCAGUAUAUUAAGGCCAUGCAAGGCGAGCGUCUCGCUCCUCUUAAGCCCCGACAUUACAGUGUACUGUGAAUUUGAAUCCCUGCUCUCCAGGUCCUUUAGAGCAUUGACCCCAUUAAUUCAAUUUACACAAGGAACAUAUGCUCAGAUCACUUUAGCAUGCUACAGGCCAUGCUGUACAUCUGGUAGUAACUUCGGGUCCUUUAAGUUGCACAGAAAAGCUUUUUUUUAGGUUAGACCUUAGAUAUACAAUAUUAGCAGAGGCACUCCAGUUAGUCCUGGAGUGGUGAGACUUUUGAAGAAUUCACAUUAACUUUUCAUUACGGGGAAGAAUUAAAAAAUAAACUGUGUUGGUUGUUUUUAAUUGAUGUGACAAUUCUUCAAACCUCUGUGGUUGGUUCUACAGUGGAACUUUCCAAAGAUAUUGUAGCUGAUAAAAAUGGGUGGGGUUUUGUUUUUUUGUGCAUUACAAUGACCAA